rnacentral:rRNA from 1 species
ACUCAAAUGAAUUGACGGGGGCCCGCACAAGCGGUGGAACAUGUGGUUCAAUUCGACGCAACGCGAAGAACCUUACCUGGGCUUGAACCGCACAGGACCAGCUUUAGAAAUAGAGCCUUCCCGCAAGGGACCUGUGUAGAGGUGCUGCAUGGCUGUCGUCAGCUCGUGCCGUGAGGUGUUGGGUUAAGUCCCGCAACGAGCGCAACCCUUACUCAUAGUUGCUACCCGCAAGGGAGAACUCUAUGAGGACUGCUCCGGAUAACGGAGAGGAAGGUGGGGAUGAGGUCAAGUCAGCAUGGCCUUUAUGUCCAGGGCUACACACGUGUUACAAUGCGCGCCACAAAGCGUUGCAAACCCGCGAGGGGGAGCUAAUCGCAAAAAAGCGCGCUCAGUUCGGAUUGCAGUCUGCAACUCGACUGCAUGAAGCCGGAAUCGCUAGUAAUGGCGCAUCAGAACGGCGCCGUGAAUACGUUCCCGGGCCUUGUACACACCGCCCGU